CCUACGGGAGGCAGCAGUGAGGAAUAUUGGUCAAUGGACGAGAGUCUGAACCAGCCAAGUAGCGUGAAGGAUGACUGCCCUAUGGGUUGUAAACUUCUUUUAUAUGGGAAUAAAAUGUUCCCCGUGUGGGAUUUUGUAUGUACCAUAUGAAUAAGGAUCGGCUAACUCCGUGCCAGCAGCCGCGGUAAUACGGAGGAUCCGAGCGUUAUCCGGAUUUAUUGGGUUUAACGGGAGCGUAGGUGGAUUGUUAAGUCAGUUGUGAAAGUUUGCGGCUCAACCGUAAAAUUGCAGUUGAAACUGGCAGUCUUGAGUACAGUAGAGGUGGGCGGAAUUCGUGGUGUAGCGGUGAAAUGCUUAGAGAUCACGAAGAACUCCGAUUGCGAAGGCAGUUCACUGGACUGCAACUGACACUGAGGCUCGAAAGUGUGGGUAUCAAACAGGAUUAGAUACCCGUGUAGUC
rnacentral:rRNA from 1 species